UCUACCAAAUUACUGAAAGUUGAUGUCGCAAAUACAUUUCGCGUUCUAAAAUUAAAGAAAACUAUAAAAAUAUUUGGUAAAAUAUAUUUAAAAGAAUAAUUUAUCGUAGUUUGGUGUUUGACAUAAAAGCUCUUAACAAGAAACUUGAUAAAUUUCGUAAAAUUUUUGAUUUUAUUCAUUGUGAAAUGUGUAAAUCUAUUGCAAGUACUCGAAAUUUUUUCAGUUAGUGUUUCUUAGUUGAAGAAAUGUGUUUGUAGCGAGUUAAAGCGAUUGAAUUGGUCGCAAAUAUACAUCGGCGUCAUUACUGUACUAAAACAUUAAAUUCGCCUUGUUUGUCGUGUUCUCCAUCAUUUUCCGCCAUUUUGAAAAGUACGAGUGUAAAGUUGAAAUUUUUAUUGACGCGUUGCCUAUGAGAAACUCUAAUAAAAUUGUGAUUUUGUGUAAAUUUAAGAUUGUUAAAAAAAACCAAAAUUUAUUUAAUCAAUUCUUGGAAUAUUCUUCGAAGUUUACAUUACAAAAAUUAAAGUGCUAUAGAAAAGAAAUAUAAAAAAAAAACAUUCCACUUUGUAGCUAAUGCAGCGAGUCGACAGCAGCGUGACGAAGAAAAAACUCGAAAUUAUAAUCUAAGCAUCGUGUCCUGUUCUAGUGUUUCAUCUAACAGAAAGAGGCCGUAUAUGACUGUGGUGGCACAACGAACAACCUAAACAACGUAAACGCUCUUUAUAAUUUUGAUAUCAUGACGUUGUUGUUGUUGUCGUUGGCGAUGAUGGAACACACAACAUGAGGGUAUUUUUAAAGCAACCAGUACUUUAAAAAAAAAAAAAAAA